UUACAAGACACUACAUAUUCUAGAGUCUCUAAUUCAAGGCUCGCUUGAUUUUGUAUCAUCAGAAUGUUAAUGGCCUAUUUGCAAAUGAAUUGGCAGCCGAAUCUGCUUAGCCAUAGACGCAAAACUGGUCCUCCAUUAGGGAUUGAAAAAAUCGUCAAUGCUUGUUACAUCAACUCCGUUCUCCAGUGCCUUACUUCUACGCCUCCUCUUGGUUAUUUCUGCUUCAAAUCUCAACAUUCUGAUUCAUCUGCUAAAGAAUAAUCCACUUCUUUGGAUAAUCCACCAAACAGAAAAAAGCUCAAGUAUAGGUAUUUCUCUUAUUCUCUCUUUAUAAACAAAGCCGCAGAUCAAUUGCCGUAACGCCACCCACAUUGAAUCGCCACGGGAAGAAACGAACUGUUAGAUACAAACAUUAGCACCAAACUGAAGAGCCUGACUGUAAGCAUGGAGUUCAACCUAUGUAUAUAAAUUUUCAGGAUGCACAAUAACGUUACAAUGGAAAGAUCUGCUGGAACUAUAGCUGUUUACAUUAGUUAGAAAUCCAAUUUCGGAGAUAAAAAUUUGCUUUGUAAAUAAGCACAUUAUUGAGGGCAAAAUGGUCAUUAUAUGCGGAAGUAAAGGUUGCGAUUUUCUCCAGCUGUACAUAUAUGUAUGGAGAUUAGCCAUUGCAUCUUGGUUCAAAAAAUCUAUGACAUAUGAGGUAUGUGGUUCCCUUAACUUGUCUAGAAAAGGAUUUAAUUUUACUUCGUAGGCUAUUCUUCAAAAUGCCAGUACGGAGGUAAUGAUAGAUACUACUUUUCUCUAUAGCCGAAUGAAGGACAUAAUUUCUGCUUACAUAUUCAUUUAAUGAGGCGUAUCAAUUGUCCAGAAGGCAACUUUGAUGGAAACCCAAGAUUAAAAUGUUAAGAGGUUGGUUGGUGACCUAAGGGAUCUUUAGCUAUUUCCUGGUCCAACCGUCUUUUAGAUAGCCUUCAAAAUGAUGGUGUGCAUCUUGAUGGAGAAGCUUUUUAUGUUAAUGAUGAUAGCUUGUAUGCCAAUGAAAAUUUAUAGAAUUACUUAAGAUGGUAUGCUCAGAUUUGUGUAAUCAAUUCAAUACCUGUAGUUUAGAAGAGUAUCAGAAUGUUUAUUGGGGAUGUGUUGUACAGUUACCAUCCAAGGCUGCUCACCUGUUCUAAUAUUUAGUUGGUAAAGAAGGAUAUCUCCUAAGCCUUUCCGUAAAUGACCCUGUGCGAACAUAUAUGGUAUCAUCCAUAAAUGAGGUGGGCCGUCUCUCUCUAUUUCUUCCCCCUUUUUUGUGUUCACAAAAAAAUGGAUCUUGGGUCUAACUUAAACCAAAAGCUAGCUUAAGAGGCGAGGACUUUCCUAGGAUAUAAAAGCAGAAAACUAUUUUCGUCAACCAGUAUGAGAUACUUGAUAGUGUUGAUCGAAAACAAUAAAGGAUGUGGAUGUGGAGAUGUGAUUUUUUAUUUUUUAUACAUGUUUUCAUAUGCCUUUCUUGUGAUGUCUAUUUAUUGAUAGUCGACAAGUAUGAUAGAAGCCUUAUGCUUCCUGAUUAUACUUUCUUAAACCAAAUUUUAUAACAAAUUGAGUUGAAAAAAUGGCAAGGAAUGUACCCUUCCUGAUAGUUUUAGACCAUUAAUAUCUUGCUAAGUAGAAUAUAUAAUUUAGCUUCAAUAUGUUGUGUUUCAUUGCAUACGUGUAGCAUUGUUCAUCUUAGCAACAAUUGUUUUUAGUACUUGCUUUAGUAAUAUCAACACAAGUCCCAUUCUAUUUUUCGUUUCACCAGUUGGUAAAUAGAGUUUUAAAAUAAACCACUUCUUUGUUAAUAGACCACUGCCUAUAGCAUUCAGUAAAUGUUAGAUAUUGUAGAACUUCCUUUGGACGCCUGUGUACAACUCUGAGUUCACAUGCCGCUUAUUUGCCGGAAGAACUACGACCUUACUUUUCGUUGCCUAGAGUUAUAGAUGGUUUUUUUAACCUUGUCAACAUGCUGUUUGGCAUUAAUCUUGAGCGUGCUGAUGGAUUAGCUCCGGUUUGGAACCAUGAUGUACGAUUUUACCUCGUGAAUGGUUCCUUUCGGAUUCCUAUUGCCUACUUUUAUUUUGAUCCAUACUUUCAUCCAUCUGAGAAAUCUGGAGGUGCAUGGAUGGGUGGAGUUGUUAGCCGAAAUGGUAUAUUAUCACGAUAUGGUGCCAAUGCUAGAUUGCCUGUUGCACACAUUGUUUGUAUCAAAUGCCACCAGUUUGGGAUAAGCCCAGCCUAAUGACAUUCCGUGAGGUUGAAAAUGUCUUCCAUGAAUUUGGACACGCCCUUCAGCAUAUGCUAACUAAGCAAGAUGAGGGUUUGGUUGCUGCUAUAAGAGGCAUAGAAUGGGAUGCUAUGGAAUUACCAUCACAGGUCAUGCAAAAUUGGUGCUAUCAUAGGCUUACUUUGCCACGUCCGCUGUAGAUUUUUUAUACAGGAUUGGACGUACAGCUAGAGCAGGCCAACCUGGUCUUGUGACAAGUCUCUAUAAAGAAUCAAAUCAUUAGCUGCUGCUAGCCUACAUUGCACGAAGGUGACUGGUGGUCAUUGGCGUGCAAGAGGAGCAGAUGUUAUUGGGGUUGUUCUAAGUAUAUCUCCGACAAUAAGCAUAUGGAGGAAGAGUAACAAUGAGACAGUCCCAAAACGUGGCAUAACUAUUGCCGAUGAGAUGAAGAAGACUGUUGUUGUGUCUCUUUGGAAUGAUCUUGCCACUAAUGUUGGACAGGAACUGCUAGAUAUGGCUGAUAAAUCUCCAGUAGUUGCAAUCAAAUCCCUUAAAGUUAGACUUUCAAGGUUGUUGUUUGUGACUUUUACAUUUGGUUUUCAUCAUAUGGGGUUUGAGUUUGUUAACAUCUAUGGGUGUCAAGUGGUAUAAGCAUUUCACAACAAUGCAGCUACUUUGCCAAAGGUUAUGAUGAGUUGGAACUUAGCUGUCAAUGAUUCCGAGCCUUUUACCACACUCUCUAAAUUAGGAGGAAAAGAACAGCUUUCCAGCAGGGUGCAGGACCUUUCUUUAGAUUGGAUCUUUUAAUGGGUUGGGAGUAAGUAACUUCUUGAUUGCUUCCGACUACAGUAACUGCUGAUUCAUUCAUAUCAUCCUACUGCACCUAAAGUCUGUUGAAAUGUGUAUCACAUUAUGUAAAAGCUUAAGUGGUUAGAGGAAGGAUUCUUCUAAUACACUUAUUUGUUUAUUUUAGUUUUGCAGUAGACAGAUUUAACAGACGUCGAACCUUGACAUUGUACCAAAGCAUUCAUUUGUCAACAAAUUGCAUAAACAAUUGUACACAGAUGGAAUAUGGAACUGUUUCAUAGAGAAUUGAUGGAUUUUAAUUUUAUGAUGAA